AAGAGUAGACGCAGGCGGUUGCAGAUCAGUCAUAAUCACUGAGCUGAGGAAAGUCCGGGCUCCCGAAAGACCAAACUUGCUGGAUAACGUCCAGUGCGAGCGAUCGUGAGGAUAGUGCCACAGAAAGAUACCGCCAGAUCAAUUAAAAAUUAAAAAUGUAAAAUGAACAAUUUUUAAUUUUACAUUUUUAAUUGAUCUGGUAAGGGUGCAAAGGUGCGGUAAGAGCGCACCAGCAGUAUCGAGAGGUGCUGGCUCGGUAAACCCCAGUUGGGAGCAAGGCGAUAGGAACUACGGUUGGUCUUUUACCAGUUCCGCUCAACGAGAGCCGCUAGAGGCGUUUGGUAACAAGCGUCCCAGAUAGAUAACUGCCCUCGCAAGAGAACAGAACCCGGCUUAUGUACUGCUCUUUCCC
rnacentral:RNase_P_RNA from 1 species